rnacentral:rRNA from 1 species
GACGAACGCUGGCGGCGUGCUUAACACAUGCAAGUCGAACGGAAAGGCCCUGCUCUUGUGGGGUGCUCGAGUGGCGAACGGGUGAGUAACACGUGAGUAACCUGCCCUUGACUUUGGGAUAACUCCAGGAAACUGGGGCUCAUAUCGGAUAGGAGCUCCUGCUGCAUGGUGGGGGUUGGAAAGUUUCGGCGGUUGGGGAUGGAAUCGCGGCUUAUCCGCUUGUUGGUGGGGUAGUGGAUUACCAAGGCUUUGACGGAUAGCCGGCCUGAGAGGGGGACCGGCCACAAUGGUACUGAGGGAGGGAGCAGACGCCUAUGGUACGCAGCGGGCGGAAGUCUGACGCAGUGGGGGGGAGCGUGAGAUGGCGGCGCUGGGAGCGGAAUAAUGGCCUUCUGGGUGUAAACCGCUUUCUCCGGUGACGAGGCGUUAUUGACGGUAAUUAGUAAAAAAGCACCGGCUAACUACGUG